UCUAAUAAAAGCAUCUUUAGUCACCUCAUUCCUACGUUCAUUAUUCUAAUCAACCGAAUCCUGCACAAACAAUUUGCAUUCCGAAUCGAAGAAGAGGUUGAAAGAGCUGAGAGAAGCUGCUAAGGUUAGGAGGUAUGGCUCAGUGACUCCCAUCUCGAGUUCUGAUUUCGUGAGGGAGGUUACGCAGGCCUCUGCUGAAGAUCGGGUUGUUGUUUGUCUCUACAAAGAUGGGUAUGGUUUUUGAUGUUUACUCGUAUUAUUCCUGUGAAAUCUCUAACAUUUAUGGGCUGUGUUUGUCUCUACAAAGAUUGGUCUGUGAUUUAUGUAAUGUAAAGAUGGAAGGAUACAAAGAAUUUGAAGAGAGGGAAAGAAGAAAUUUGAUAAGCAAAUAGAUUUGAAUGUGAUGAUCAGCUCUAAAGGACUCGAUGUAGGCGUUGAUAAAUGAUUACUCUACAGUUGUUUCAACAUCUCUUUACUUCGAUCAACGUUUCUGUCAUGUAAGAAACAUUGUUGUAAUACUCUUUGUUCUCUAGAAUCUCUGUCGUGGUGGUUCUGUUUCAGUAGGUGAUACAGAAGUACGCUUCUUUGCGGAUGAGUGGAGUGAAGUUCAUCAGCUUAUUCCACUAGUUAAUGAUGGUGAGACUGAUAAGAAGGGUGGUUAUGACAUCAUUCUAAUGGCUGAGACACUUUAUUCCAUCUCUGCUCAGAAACGUCUCUAUGAACUGAUUAAAAGGUGCUUGGCCUAUCAUGAUGGAGCAGUGUACAUGGCUGCUAAGAAGUACUAUUUCGGGGUUGGUGGAGGGACAAGGCAGUUUCUGUCUAUGAUUGAGAAAGAUGGUAAGAAUGGUCUAUACAAAGAAAGGAUUGUGUUUGUUCAUCCUCAGCACCAUCCCUAGCUUAUGCAGCCUCAAAUGCUACAACCAGGAAGGGAGUCUUCUCCAUUGUGGCUCUAUUUGUGUUUGUGUUUCUUCCUCCCGUUGCUGGUUUCUUCCCGGUGCUAUAGGGCGCGGCGCUGUUCUUUGGGUUACUUCUUUGUGCCUGCUGGUUGUGAAGUGGUAUUUGUAGUUUCUUAGAGGUGUCCUGCUUCCCCCACUGUUUGGGUUUGUAGAGUAGCUUGUGGUAGGACGAUGUAUUGAACUUGUGGUAGGACGAUGUAUUGAACUUGUGGCUUCGCCGGGUCUCCGAUUACAUUGGGAUGAGGGUUAAGCAAGAGAUCAUCUUAUCCUUUCUCCAGCAGUGUUUUGUCUGGUACUUUUGACACUUCGGUUGGGGACUGCUCUCUCCUUUCUUUCAAAGUUGGCUUGCCGUAGUUCUAUUUGCAGUGUCAGCUGAAAGUUUAAGUUUCAUGGAUGAAACUCGCAUUGGUUAGUAUGUUGUUGUUGUUUUUAUUUCUCUUGUUUAGUAUCAUGUAUCCGGAAAGGUAUGUAUUUCCUACCUUUGUCACCUAUAUAUCUCUCUCGGGCUGUGUCUCAUGCAUCCUUCUCGGGCUUUGUU